rnacentral:lncRNA from 1 species
AUACUUUCCCCAAAAUUACUCAAGAAAUCUCCUUAGGAUUUCAAAAUAAAAACCCAAAUAGUUCAAGAUUCGACCGUAGGUUUUCGAAGAUAAUUACAUAUUUGGAAUCACCAAUCCGCAAGCUUCAAGAAACAUCUAGUAUCUUCGGAAAUAGAGGUACGUGGAUUUAUCCAAAAAUCUCAUAUCUUGAAAGUAAGAAGUUGUAUUGCCAAAGGUCUGGUAAUUCUAUCCUAAUUUAGGAGUUACAUGUCUAUAUUCCAGACUACAGAGUGGUGUCAUUGUGAUGAUUCCUUAGUGGGUGUCUUGUGUAAUCCAUACCCAAGAUUCAUGGUUCCCUAUUACUGCUAGAGCUCCCUUAGAGAGUGUGUUGAAGAGAGUAUUCCAGUUAAGUAUGAGGGUGUAGUAUAAUUCAGUUUGUAUGGCCAAUAAGUCAGUUUGGCAGUCAGAUUCGCAUGACUUGUUUUCUCAUCUUUGCACUUAUUCAUGCUACUCGAAAUCUCAGACAUACUACUAGUCCAAGAUAGAGUAUACCAGUAGUUAUGAGUAUAGCCCAGUUCAUGCAUCAUGCAUUAAAUUCAGAUUCCAAAUGUUCAGUUAUGAUUCAAUUCGUAGGUGCCCUGUGCAUCGGCUCAGUUUUCUGAGUAUCUUAGUGAAUUGAGCAUUUAUAGAGGGACAUAGGGUCCCAAGGGGGAGAUACCUCAUUCAGCUGCAUGUAUAGAUUCUUAUUACAAGCUCCGCACUAGUUAUCAUUGAGUAAUCAGUCAUACAUUCAUACGUUAGUCCAGUCAAAUAUGCGUGCAUUAGAAAUGCAUGUUCAAUAGAAAAAGUUCAUCUUAUCAGUGUAUUUAGUCCUGCAUUCAUGAGAACAACCCAGUCACAGAUCCAUGCAUCAGGUAUGCAUGUUCAUUAUGAGAAUUCAGCUUAUGAAUAGCUUCAGUUGUGUAUUCCAUGCAUCAGAUAUGCGUAUACGAUAUAAGAAUUCAGAUUAUCAGUAGUUCUAGCCAUAUGGUCAUGUUUCAGAUCAGUGUAUUUUUUAUUAGAGGACAUGUCGUGUCUGCGUUAUUCCAUAUAUUUAAGGCUUUAACAAGUUCCUACCCAUCAUUCGAGGACGAAUGAUUCCAAGGGGGAGAUAAUGUAACACCCCGUAAAAGUCGUGCAUGGAAUAACCUUUAAUAGAGUGCCUUUAGACUUAAAAACUUGAAAAUUUUUCUAAGUGUAAUGAGGACUUAGAGUCAUUUUAGCUGGCAAUCUUCGGGAUACAACUUUUCAACCUUCCCGACAUCCGUUUUUAGAUUUUCAAGUUGCGUUAUGAUCGGGCAAGAUCAUAGUACAUCUCGGAUAUGUUUCAAAAUUUUUCGGAAUGCAUAAGGCUGAGUUUAGAUUUCAAAACAGUAGCAAAACGCAUAGCCUAUUGCCCAGUUUUCAGCAUUUCAGGGUCAACUUCAAACGAUCAUAAAUCCCUGUAUAUAAUGAAAUGUGUGAGCUCAUGUCGUGUCUGCGUUAUUCCAUAUAUUUAAGGCUUUAACAAGUUCCUACCCAUCAUUCGAGGACGAAUGAUUCCAAGGGGGAGAUAAUGUAACACCCCGUAAAAGUCGUGCAUGGAAUAACCUUUAAUAGAGUGCCUUUAGACUUAAAAACUUGAAAAUUUUUCUAAGUGUAAUGAGGACUUAGAGUCAUUUUAGCUGGCAAUCUUCGGGAUACAACUUUUCAACCUUCCCGACAUCCGUUUUUAGAUUUUCAAGUUGCGUUAUGAUCGGGCAAGAUCAUAGUACAUCUCAGAUAAGCUUUGGAAUUUUUCGGAAUGCAUAAGGCUGCGUUUGGAUUUCAAAACAGUAGCAAAACGUAUAGCCUAUUGCCCAGUUUUCAGCAUUUCAGGGUCAACUUUAAACGAUCAAUCCCAGUAUAUAAUGAAAUGUGUGAGCUAUAAUAUAUCAAACGAAAUCUCUUUGAGUUAUCUUUCAAAUGCAGUUGGUUUCAUCCAAUUUGAGUAUAUGAGUAAAAAGUUAUAAUCGAUUUACUCCACCCUAUCAAACUGUCAACUGAGGGAUAUAUUUGACCUUAAUUGUUCCUUAGGGGUAUUUUGGUCAUCCUCCACCCCUAUAUAUACCACCAACACGGGAUUUAAUCCCUCAAACACCAUAAUACACAUACUUUCCCCAAAAUUGCUCAAGAACUCGCCUUAGGGUUUCAAAAUAAACACCCAAAUAGUUCAAGAUUCGACCGUAGGUUUUCGAAGAUAAUUACAUAUUUGCUUGCAAGUCGGGUAUGACGAUACCUUUCAAAAUACGAUAUACGACUGAAUAAGAUGAAAUUUGAAUACAUUGAUUUUACAUGAGAAAUGUGGAUGCCCGAAGAAGGUGUUUGAGACACAAGUGGCUCAUCGCUGGAAGAAUGUGUUUGGCGACACGGAAUAUUGGUACCAGGCUAAGUGAUCUGUGUAAUUGAUUUCAUGUCAUUCUCAAAUUGGGACUAUAGGUAGGAGCCCGAGCCAGGUGAUCUUGGGCAGUACCAUUGGGUCGAGACACCAUGCUGUGUGGUCUUGAGUGUCUCUCCCUCACUUGUACUCUACUCUCAACGGCAACCGAGGUUUGACAAAACAGUUGGUGUAAAUUAUGUAGGGUAUUCCACCUAGCUCAGUUGCAUUUCAUUAUUGUUGAGAAAAGACUAUUGCAUUACGCCCAUGUGUUUUUAAAUGAUUUGAUACGAAAUUUCUUUAUAAUGACUCUCAACUAUAUUUGGUAAAAAUAUUAUGUUUUGCUUUGAUAUCUCUGCGUGCCAGUACUUUUGUGCUGACCCCCUCCCCUCUCCAAUCUCUCAGGUUCAGAGGCCCAGUCUAGGGGUCAAGAGAAUCAGUAGAACUUUCAGACAGAGCUGUAGAGACAAGUGGUGAGCCUUCUAUGUUUCGGAAGGUCUUAUGUCCUGCAGUCCUUUUAUCUUAUAUUCAGUUUUUGGGUCUACUGGGGGCCUUGUUCCAGUUUUCAAAUAGACAUUGUUUCAGUCAUUUGUUAGCGAUUUUCGUAGACAGUUAUUAGAGGAUAAUUGAUGUUGAGGGAACCUUAUCUCGCCGUUAUUGUCUCUUUUCAUAUUUAUGACCAUGUUUCUGAAUUAUUGUGUUUUUUCGCAUUUCUUUGAUCAUAUGAAUUAGGUGCAUGAUUACCAGACAGAUAGGGGUGUUUCGGGCCUUAAUGAUUUGAAAUGCUCGUCACGGCCAGGCCCUGGUUCGGGUCGUGACAUAUGACCCUAAACUUGACACCAAAUUAUAACAUUGAUUUAAACAUUGAUAGUGCACAAAUAUGAUCUUUAACUAUAAAAAACAUGAACAAAUAAAUACUCAUAUUUUGCAACUUAGGUGGAUG